UUAUGAUUGUUAUUUAUCUCACUUAUCGCAAUUUACAGCAAAGGCGUUGUCUCGGUCUGAUAACAGUCUUUUUUAAUCCUUUUUCACAUACCGCAACUAUUUGGCGGUCACUUUAAUCCGGCACCUCUGAGGUUGUCUUUCCGUCCAUGUAAUUUUCUUAAGCUCAUUUUACCUUGAAUGCGGUUAAAGCUGUCACCUAACAUCCGUUAUUAUAUAGUUCAUUUCUUCUCGCUUAAUCAUGCCGCCUAAGAAGUGUACUGCUGGCCCUGGAAGAGGCCGCGCAAGCUGCAAUAGUACAAGAUACCCAGUCUACUGCAGUCCCAGGGAUGGUCCAGUUAAAUCUCCAGGCGCUCACCAGCACAAUUGCCGCUGCUGUCUCCGCGGCCGUGAAGGACGCUAUGGCCACGCAGCAUCAAGCGAGUGUCCCCGCCAGCACUACCACAGCACGUGGUCAGGUUGACCAUCUGGUGAACGAGGAGAUUUCAAACCUCACUCAACCCACAGUUCCUGCGCUUUUUGGGAAGACAUUAAAGAGGCUGUGAACAGGUCCUGGCUAGAGUGACGGUUGAAGAAGAAGACAUGCAUAAUUUAGAAUUACACGUAAAUUGAAGGUCCGGUCCUCGUAAUGUAGUACCGGGAUAGUUUGUACAGUCAGCUAUUAGGCUCUUGCAACAAAUCCUGUAGUUUAUUUGACAAAAUAAAGCAACACUUUGGUUUUUCUAAUCGGAA